rnacentral:rRNA from 1 species
GAUGAACGCUGGCGGCGUGCCUAAUACAUGCAAGCCGAGCGAACGGACGAGAAGCUUGCUUCUCUGAUGUUAGCGGCGGACGGGUGAGUAACACGUGGAUAACCUACCUAUAAGACUGGGAUAACUUCGGGAAACCGGAGCUAAUACCGGAUAAUAUUUUGAACCGCAUGGUUCAAAAGUGAAAGACGGUCUUGCUGUCACUUAUAGAUGGAUCCGCGCUGCAUUAGCUAGUUGGUAAGGUAACGGCUUACCAAGGCAACGAUGCAUAGCCGACCUGAGAGGGUGAUCGGCCACACUGGAACUGAGACACGGUCCAGACUCCUACGGGAGGCAGCAGUAGGGAAUCUUCCGCAAUGGGCGAAAGCCUGACGGAGCAACGCCGCGUGAGUGAUGAAGGUCUUCGGAUCGUAAAACUCUGUUAUUAGGGAAGAACAUAUGUGUAAGUAACUGUGCACAUCUUGACGGUACCUAAUCAGAAAGCCACGGCUAACUACGUG